UUUCAUCUUUUCAUCCAUGAGGCAAGAUGGCCAAAAUAGAACUCCAUUCGGUGUUGAGAAUCGGUACCACGUGGCCCCAGGGCCAUCGCGUCACCGCCGCGUCCCUCAGGCUGCACAAAAUGGACGCCCGGCCGUUCCCCCACCGGCCAGAACAGGAAGCCGCCCCACCCGCACGUCCAAAUCCGCCUCUGGACGCCCGGCCCCGCCCACGCCCCCCGUGACUCACGCGGCGGCCGCCGCCGCCCUACCACGCCGCCAUCUUGGCUGCUGCCACGUUUCGCGGGGCACCAGGUGGAAGCCGGCGGGUUCGGGGGGCCGGGGCUGUCGGGGGCUCCCGACCCAAGGGCGCCGGCGUUUUGGGGCCACCCAAGCAAGGGCCACGCGUUAUGGGCGCUCGUAAAACCACUCCCGUCUCCGCGAAGCCGCCCAGCCGCCGGCCGCUCCCAAGCAGGCAGAAACCCCCGACCGACCCAGGGGUGCACGGCCAGAGCAGCGCAGGCCCAGUACUUACGCCAUGGCUUAAGCCGCUGGGGGGUGCCGCUGCAGAGCCUGGUGCUGCUGCCGCCGCUGCAAAAGCCAAUGCUGCCGCAGGCACUGCUGCCUCUAAUACGCCAUGGUGGCCGCGGACGCUACGGGAGCGGAGAAAAGAAGGCACGCACUCGCACGGAGAAAUCACAUACACAGACAGAAGGAGAAAAAAUGGCGGCGAGACGCCGAGCUCGGGGCCUUUAUAAACUCUGCUCCCUGUGAGGACGCAUCACAGACCAUAUCCUUCCACCGCGGUCACGUGACUCGCGCCUCCCACCCACGCAUUGCCAUCUAUUCGACGGCCCUAUCGUUUCCAAUCUCCGACUUUUAAGUCUAGGGCGUAGCUGUGAAGAGAGAAUGAAUUGUUUUUAUUUACGGCCUCAAGAAAAAGACGCACUACUUUACAAGGAUUUUAAGAUGAAAGGGUCACUCCCGUCCGCCGCCGGGGAGCGCGGAGGGAUUCGCCACACUCAUUUCCGGCGUUAGUCCGAAGGGCGGAGAGAGAAGUCUUUCAUCCCAAUAAAGGUUUUUACUGUGAAGUACGAGGUCUCCUAGUUCUCGCGCGAUAUGCUGGAGGAGAGCGCGCAUCAAGAUGAUUGGUCAGACAUGAGAGAAGACUGAGUCUGGAAGGGAAUACGCGUCCCUCCCAAGGUCAUGGAGCCUGUCAGCACCCCACACCCUCCUGGACAGCCAGCGGAGGGGGAGUGCUGUACCUGAUGCUCACGGACAGAGCACCAUGCCGGUUCCUGGGCUCUGAGGACUCUGCGCCAGCCUCACCUCACCGUCCUGAGGUCGUGCUUACCUGUCUGUGUUCCCCCACUGACUGUGGUCCUUCUGCGAACAGGGACUGUCCUCGCUCUCAGUGUCCGGUGACCCAGCACUGUGCCUGGCUCAGUUAGGAGCCUGGAUGAUGUCUGAACAUUGACGCAGGCAUCACUGCCAUCCUGUCCUCACCUCUUCUCCCCUUCCUCCUCCCCGAGUGGAUGCUGAUAGAGGGAGUGCACUUUGGCAGUUAAGAGCUCAGCUUCUGGGUUUAGGCAAACUGACUCUGCCAUUCACUGCCUAAUUAAUAUGUCCAAGCCUCACUUUCCACAUCUGUAAAAUGGGAAUGAUGGGGGGGGGAACACUCUUAGCCCAGAGUUUGGCACAAAAUAGGCAUUUAAUAAAUAAUGUCUGUAAA